rnacentral:lncRNA from 1 species
GAUGGAUCAGUUGCCAAGUUCUUAUGUAAUGAGACACAAGGAAGGGGCAAGUGCUGAGGAAGGAGAAAGAACACUAUUGCACCAGCUAAGAUUCCAUGACUUCUAUCAGCUGGGACAACUGUGGCCUCAGCUCCAGUCAUCCUGGUACACACACUAGAGGUGGCCACCCUGAGCGUCUCCUUGGUGUCCCACAGCUCAGAACUGCUUUUAGAGCUCUGCUAGUUCGGUGCAGUGGCAAUGAGCCAGAAGAAUACAUUCAUGUUAUAUCCUUCAGGGAAACACAAGCUGCUCAAAAGCUGACCUCCCAGAAUUACCCAGAAGGAGGAAAAGUCAGCAUUCCCAGCCCGCCCCCAGAGUGA